rnacentral:tRNA from 1 species
GCUGGUGUGACUCAGUGGAUAGAGCGUCGGCCUGUGGACCGAAGGAUCACUGGUUUGAUUCUAGUCAAAGGCA